rnacentral:lncRNA from 1 species
ACAAUGCUAAAAUGAAUUUUCAAAUUUAUAAUUUUCCACAUUUCUGACUUAAAUAAAUUACAAUUAAUAUUUACAACACAAUUACUACAACAAAUGAGACUAUUUAAAUCACUUGUUCCCUUCAUAGGGUCUAAUUCCAUUAUCUUCAUACCAUGGUAAAAACUGCAACAGAAAAUAGAUAAAUUCAACUGCAUAAAUAAUAGAAAUUUACUAUCCUUGCAAUGUAAAUUCAGCUACACAAUGGACCAAAACGAUGAAUUCGACAAGAGUAAUACAACCCAAGUACCCUCAAGGAUCUUUAUCCCUCUCUCAAUAUAAAUUUAAAUGAGUCUCAAUCCCUCUUCUCCUAACUUGCUAUCAUUAACAAUAAAAUAAAUUAAAAGUCGGAUAAAAGGAAAAUGUAUGUCUCAUGGCCGACCCAAAUGGUAAAAGCAGCAACGCCGCUAUCCAAGGCAAUGGAAUAUGAGACAACUCCAGCGGAGAUGCCACCAGUUAAGGUGGCACCAUCAACACCAGAACCAUUAAUAUAUGACGGUUACUUGAGAAAUAUACAAACACUUUUCAAUUUGCUCCCAAAUAAGUACUGAGAUUUAUCGGAAAUCUCCCGUCAAUACAACAUACAUAAAAUAAACUAUUAAACAUUACAGUGACCAAAACUCCAAAAUGAAGCCCAGACGAACAAAACACGAGAAAUUAUUAAUGUAUGCGAGUCAAAUGUUUAAACGCACACAUCAAUUAUUUCACUUGAUCUUACGCCUAAGCUUCGUUUUAAAGUUUAUUAAAAAAUCCAGCUCAGAAAUUAAGAAUUGUCAUUCUCAUUGAUUAUAAAAAUCUCUGAAGUCUGACAUGUGAAAUUUUUCUUAAUUCAUCACAGCAAUACAAACUCAUAAUUAAAAAUCAAAUGAAAUGUUUAAGCUCUCAAUAGUAAUAAAAUAUCUGCUCAUAAUUUGAAUCAGAAUAGCGUAUACUGCAACAAAGGCAGAAUAUCACAGAGCCAAUUAUACAUAUAAUUUCAGAAACACAUAAUCUCAAACAUAAACAAAAAAAUAUGAAAAAUUGUUUGAAACAGAGAUCAGAAAUUGGAAAAGGUUGUCGGUCACAGUAAAUCAGAAACACGGACCAAUGUAAACAUCAUCAUAUCUCUUUAUUUUCAAAUUAAACGAAAAAUCUAUGAAAAAAGAAAAAUAAAUCAUGAACCAUAUCGAAAGAAAAAUAGUGAAUGAUCAUCAGAGACUUAAAUACUAAGAAUCAUGGAACGAAUCCAUCAUAUUGUUGCAGUUUUUUCUCAUCACAUGA